rnacentral:rRNA from 1 species
AUGCUGCUGGUCGGCUCAUACCGGCAUGGAUUGACAAUGGCCAGGUCUGUGUUGCAGCAUGGCAGCUCCCCGACUCUCGUGGGAGCUCUCUAUGGUGGGAUAACGUCCGACACAUUUGCUAACAUCUUUGUGGCCUCACGCGGAGUACUGACUGAUAUGAUUAUCGCCAGAUCCGUUUUCAAGGUGGUGUGUGGAACACUGCUUCAUGUCCCACCUUGUUUUGGCCUUUAUUUGCUAGGCUCAGCUGCAACGAUCUCACGUCGUUACCUUGUUGAAGGCAUUGUCUCCUUGCAAAUGUACUAUCUUUCGGUGGUUGGUCUCGGCAACCAGGAUGUAAAUCAUUGUCCUGGCCAACAGCCGGACAUGAUGAGGGCGACAUGGGACCAUGUACUAAUUACCUUUGAUCCGGUUUCGAUGUAG